UCAAAAACAUGUCCUUUUGUUAAUAAUUUAAGGUCUGACCUGCCCAAUGAUUAUUUAAAUGGCCGCAGUAUAUUGACUGUGCAAAGGUAGCAUAAUCAUUAGUUUAUUAAUUGUAAGCUGGAAUGAAUGGUUUGAUGAGAAAAUAACUGUCUCAAUUUAAUUGUUUUAGAAUUUUAAUUUUAAGUUAAAAAGCUUAAAUUUUGAAGGAAGACGAGAAGACCCUAUAGAGUUUAAUAUUUUCAUAUUAUGAUUGGUUUUAGGUUUAUUUAAAGUUUUAAUAUGAAUUUAUUUUGUUGGGGUGACAUUAAAAUUUAAUAAACUUUUAAUUUAUUAUAACAUUUUUUUUUGAUUAUUUGAUCCUAAAUUUUUAGAUUAUAAGAUAAAAUUACCUUAGGGAUAACAGCGUAAUUUUUUUUGAGAGUUCUUAUCGAAAGAAAAGUUUGCGACCUCGAUGU
rnacentral:rRNA from 1 species